rnacentral:rRNA from 1 species
UAGCGUAGGGUGCGAGCGUUUGUCCGGAAUUAUUGGGCGUAAAGAGCUUGUAGGCGGUUUGUCGCGUCUGCCGUGAAAAUCCGGGGCUCAACCCCGGACUUGCGGUGGGUACGGGCAGACUAGAGUGUGGUAGGGGAGACUGGAAUUCCUGGUGUAGCGGUGAAAUGCGCAGAUAUCAGGAGGAACACCGAUGGCGAAGGCAGGUCUCUGGGCCACUACUGACGCUGAGAAGCGAAAGCGUGGGGAGCGAACAGG